rnacentral:rRNA from 1 species
GAAAACCUUACGAGGAUAAGACAGACGAAGGAUUGACAGAUUGAUCGCUCUUUCUUGAUUGUUUGGGUGGUGGUGCAUGGCCGUUCUUAGUUCGUGGAUUAAUUUGUCUGGUUAAUUCCGUUAACGAACGAGACCUUAACUUGCUAAUUGGAAUAUAGUAUUGUAUACUGUAUUCUGUUAGAAGGACCAUGUGUGUCUAACACAAGGAAGCGUGAGGCAAUAA